UCUGUCCAAAUAAAUUUUAAAAAUCUAAAAAAAAAAAAAAAAAAAGGGAACUUCUCUCCCUUUUAUGAUUGAAUAAUAUUCCAUUAUAUGACUACACCACAGCUUGCUAAUUCACCAGUUAAUGAACAUUUGAAUUCUUUCCUUUUUUUUUUUUUUUUAAAUUAUGAAUAAUUCCCAAACAAGGGACUUGUUUCCAGAAUAUACAGAGAAUUUUCAAGGUUUUCUAUAUAUAUUUUGGAUGCAAGUCCGUUGCAAGGUAUGUGAUUUGCAAAUAUUUAUGAUUUUGGGGGGAUGACUUUAUCUUUCUUGAAAGUAUCCUUUGAAGCUCAACUAUUCUUUAAGUUUGAAGAAGUCCAAUUGAUCUUGGCUGUCUGGGUUUUGGUAGUAUGUUCAAGAAAUCAUUGCCUAUUCCAUGGUCAUAAAGAUUUAUGCCUGUGUUUUCCAAGUAUUUUAUACCUUUCACUUUUACAUUUAGGUCUUUGGUCAGCGUUGAGUUGAUUCUUGUCUAUGGUAUGAGGAAGGCCUGCAAAUUCAGUCUUCUACGCAUGGAUACCCAGCAUUCUCGGCACCACCGGCUAAGAAGUCUAUUCUUUCUCAAUUUAACAGUCUUGGCGCUCUUAUCUAAAAUCAGUUCCCCGUAAAGAUUUGUUCUUGAAGUCUAAGGGCAUCUUCACAUCUUCCAUCUCCCUCACCUCUCACAGCAGCUCAAGACGAAUCAAUCUCCUAAACCUUGUCAUGGAGUCACGAAUGAGGGGAAGGGCUCCAGAGAUAUUAGCCCCAACAUCUCAUUUUACAGAAGAAGAUUUUGAAACAAAGGCAGAAGCAUAGAGGCGCAACCGUCAUCAUUUGUGAGGAAAGAGGUGUGGACGUGUGGUUUCUGCCCAACUUCUGUCUACAGACAGGUGAUGACAGCCAUAAACCCACUUCCUACUAUUGCUGUAGGAGAAGCAGGUGGGAUGGUUAGAGACGGAUCUUGGACCCAGGAAACAGAGAAGUUUACGCACAGAGGAGAGGGAACACCGUAGCUCUGUGUCUUUCCUGCUGGCACGGAGAUACACCGCUGAGUCCCCCAAGCCUGCCGAGCGGUCGUUGAGAGAACAGAAAGAAGUGUUGUGCCGGCGGGAUUGGAAGUUAUCCGAGGCAUCUGCUUCUUUGCUCAGAUUACCUAUAUAUCGUGUAGGAGGAGAGGAGUAUUUUAAAUUUAGAAAGAAAGUUGGAAUAAAGACAAGGGUCUAGAAUAUAAAGAGCGGAUGUGAGUA